GGAACCCUGAUUGAAUUGGACUUUAUUUGCGCAGCAUAAGUGGAAAGGAUUGAAAUUACUCUUGGGGGAUUAUUGGAGCCAUCAGUGAGAUACCACUCCUAUAAUGUUAGAUUUCUAACUUUGGAUCAUGAUCUGGUCAAAGAACAGUUUCAGGCGGGCAGUUUGACUGGGGCGGUCGCCUCCCAAAUGGUAACGGAGGCGUACAAAGGUUUCCUCUGAACGGGUAGAAAUCGUAUCUAGAGUGUAAAGGCAUAAGGAAGCUUGACUGUGAGACCUACAAGUCGAGCAGGGACGAAAGUCGGUCUUAGUGAUCUGACGGUGCUGAGUGGAAAGGCCGUCACUCAACGGAUAAAAGUUACUCUAGGGAUAACAGGCUGAA
rnacentral:rRNA from 1 species